CUUCUUAAAUUGGCUUUCAAGCCUCCUUCCUACCCUCCCCAUAGGCAUUAAUUAGCUGUUCCUGGUUUGUUUUCCACUACUAGCCUACACAAGGCCAGACAGCUCUUCAGGCAGACAGCUCUCUCUUUGUCCGCUGAAAACAUCAUGUGAAUUGUCUUUAUUUUACUGAAGAUGCCAGGCACCAUGUUAGGCAUUACAAAUAUUAUCUUAUUUAAUCCCUUCCAUUUAAGAGAUGGGUAUAAUUAUACCCAUUUUAAGGCUGUAGAAGGCUAAAGAAGUUAAGGUACUUGUCCAACUAAGGUCUCACAGCAGCACUAGGAUUCUUACAUCUGGCUCAAAAGCUGGUAUACUUUCCACUCCAGCAUACUCUCCCCCCUGCUAUGCAUGUGCUGUGUGUUCUGAUUCCUCCUUCCUCUUGUCAUCUGGAUGAUUUCUCAAUUUCACUCCAUAUAUCUGACUCCUGUCCAGUCUGCAAAUCCGGAGAGAAACUCCCACCUCUGUCUUGAAACCUUUCAACCAUCAUCCUAGUCCUUGGCAGACUGCUGAAUUUGUCAUCUGCAGCACUCAUUUGGUGCUCCCAUUUUCUGCCUUGUAUUGUCAGCUUUAUUUUUAUUCAGUCCCUUCCAACCAAACUGAAAGCUCCUUGAAGAUGGGAAUUUGCCUUAUAUUUAUUUAUAUUCCUCCCUGACUCCCCAGAGCCUAAUAUUACAACUCCCGUUUGUCAUACACUCACCUCAUGCACACUAAUCCUUAGAAGUGAGCACUGUUAUUACUGCCAUUUCGCAGAUAAAGAAACUGAGACUCAGAGAGAUGAAGAAAUUUGCCCAAGCCACUAAGCUGGUGAGCAGAUCUGAUGUUCAAACACAUACUGCCUGAAUCAAAUGCCCCUUUUCCUUUGUGACUGUAUUGUCCUGGCUCACAUACAUGGUCCCUCACACAAUGUGAACUUAUGAAGCAUUCCUGUAUGGAGGAUACUCAACAAGCCUCCAGAAAACAUCCCUCUAACAUGACUUCAGAGAAGGGGCAUUGUUUUUACUCUUCAUGAGGUGAAAUCCGGCAACUCAACAGAAGAAAGGAUGAGUAUAUACCCACCUGAGGACACCCACAUCCACUUCCCCCUCCUCUCUAGGAGCCAUGCCUCAUGUUGGUGGGAGCCAAUGAUGCUGUCUAUAUCUGUACAGGGGUUUCUGUGAGGUAGAGAGGCAAACUGCCCUUCCCCCUUAAUCCUCUGUACCUUUUAAAUACACAGAGGAAAGAAGGAGAAAAUUAAACUGUUAAUUUCUUUUAAUGGUCUGCAGGGUCCAGAGAGGUGGGGUCCUGCUGUGUCUGCAAAAGAAAUGAAUUGCUGCUGUGGGAAGAAUAACAACUGUUUUUAGAAAAUGUUCAUAGCUGACCGAUUAAGCCAAUCUGUAGAACUCAAGUCAGCUUCUUCUUCUCCUUUAAGUCUCAGCUGGAGUUGAAUUUGAAUUAUUUCCUCAAAUUUUAAAUUGCUGGUUUUUGGAAAGCAAUGAGCACUGAAGGAUGCUAAAGGAAGAUGGCUUGCCACCUCCAAGGCUCUUAAACCAGAUGUGCUGUGGGUUCUGAAAGCAGUGCCCAACAAAGAGCUCCAGAAACGUUUUGAGCAAUGGCAGCAAUGGAAGCACCUACACAAUAAGUGACAGCCUUCCAAGAUGACUUGAUAGAUGAGAACACACUAAAAUGUUUGUGUAAGUUCUGGUGUAGUUGUUAACAUGCAGACAUUAGUUAGACCUUGGUUAUACCGUUUCAGCCCUCCAGCUGAGAGUUAGGGACAAAAUUAUUCCUAACAUAUUGUACUUCAAAAAAUGGUACAUCCUUUAGGUGCAUCUUGCAGAUUUCACACAAAAUGUUUUAAUAUUUAGGAUCUAGAUAUUGUUUUGAAUGAUUUCAAGCAUUAUCCAAGAAAGAUGAAAACUAUAACUGAGAUAAACAUAUUGAGUAUGUUUUUAUAUUUUUAUUAAACCAAUUAAUUUUAACCAGGUGUAUGUAUGACUACUUGGGAUGCAUUUUGUUUACUUAAUUGUAGACAAUUCUGACUUAAGAUUGGGGGGAAAAAAGGUACUGUAUGUGGUCUUGAUUUUAACUAGAAAUAUAGUGCUUUCAACUCAAAUGAAACCAGCCCGUCCAGUAUACCAAAUAAGGAGCAAGACCUUUUAAGGAUUAUUUUGCUUUCUAAAGUAAUUAAAAGAAUAUCCCCUUCAAUCAUGUAUGCCCUUUAAACUUUGCUUAAUGAGUUUUAAAGGAGAAAAAAAAAAAAACAUGGUACUGUGUGGUACUGUGAAUACGGCACAAUCUGGAGAAAACUUUCUGAUUCCUAAUUUAUUUUUUUCCCUUGACUUUCUACUUAAAGGUAAUCAACACAAUUUUCCAUUUGUAUCAAAGAAAGGCCACAGUUUUUAACUCUUUCAUAAUAAUGUUCCUUGAGUUUCUUGGAGCAAGGAGAAAAUAUACAUAUUUUAGUUACAUUUCAACAAUUACUUAUUAAAGGUCCAUAGGGAUCAUGUUCAAUGGCAAAGGGAAGUGGAGGACCUAUAAUAGAUAAUGAAUAAAUACUUAUUGAAUGGAUGGAUGGAGGAAAAGAAAACUGUAUCUUGGGCCCCAUAUGGAGUUCACUAUAAAAUUAAUUCCCACAGAUUAGCCUCCCAAAGUAUUUGGUCCAUGUAAAUACAACUUCUGGCUAUCAUAUAAUAUUAAGCCUAAAGCAUCUGCUUAAAUUUGGACUUGAUUUUUCCUAUUAUUCCAGUUUUAGAAAAUGUUUGGUCACAUAAAUAGAGCUCUCUCACUAACUUACUUGGACUAUUUGGUUACAUAACAUCUCUGUUCCUCAGUUUAUGUCAGAAUGGAAAUAAGACAAAAACCUCCUCCUUCCUAUAGGGACUUUUUUGAGUACCUUGAUAAAUACCUACAAAAUGAUAAAUGCUACUACCUCUUUCAACAUUUGCACGAUGUUAACUAAACACAAAAUAUUUUUAGUGUGUGAAUUAAAAUGCCUCUUUUACUGAUGGCUUCAGAUGUUUCCUUGUAAGAUACCAUGUCAAGAACUGGUUUAUAAAUUAUCUGUCCUUCCAGAACGCACUGACAUCACGCUUCCUAAUAGCUUGGUAUGAUGACUGCUGUCAAAAUCGCCUGCAUGGAACCAUCCCUGACCUGGACUAACAGCAUGUAUUAGCGUGACAGAGACUAAAAAGCUAAGAACCGCCGUGCGAUGGCCGGCUUUGGGCACCGGGGGUGGGGGCUACGCUACGCGUGAAGGGCCUCAGUCCUCGGGCUUUAGUUCAGGAAGAAAAUGAAAGCUGGAGGUCUCGUGGGCGGGACUGGAGGCGGCCAGAUAGGCAAGAACCCGCAACAGGAGUAGGGACAUUUUUUCUUCAAAUUCCAAUCCCAUCCAGCGAUAGACAGGCGCGUGGGUCUCCCUCCUCCACGACCACCACACAAUGGCACACACUUUUGCUGGAAACUGAAAUCGAAGUCUCUGAGGCAGGCUGGGGCCCAGGCCGGCAGCGGGGAGGGGCAGGGUCCAGCCACCUCGG
rnacentral:lncRNA from 1 species